rnacentral:rRNA from 1 species
AAUUGAUUAAGAUUGAUCCUGUCUUUAAUUUUUGGUUGAUUGGUUAUAUUGAUAAUAUUAAAUAUAAAUUUUCGUGUGUUUAUUAAUUUAUCUAAAAGGUAAUUUUUUUUAUAUUUGUAGUUUUUAAUUUUGAAUAUUAUGGAAACAUAGAUUCAGUUAAUUAAUUUAGGAUUGUUUAAGGUUGUGCCAGCAUACGCGGUUAUACAUCCAAUUCGAAUUAAUCUUUUUGGGUUUUUAUUUAUUAUAUUUAUUGGAGGUUAUUUUGAUUUUAUAAGGUGAAAUUUUUAAUUUUGAGUACAUCCUCUUGGUUUAAGAUAAUAGGAAAUUUAGAAUUUAAACUAGGAUUAGAUACCCUAUUAUUCUAAAUGUAAAAUUGGAACCAUAGUAUUAAUAGUUAUGAUCUUUAAAUUAAA